rnacentral:rRNA from 1 species
UGCCAGCCGCCGCGGUAAUACGGAGGAUGCAGGCGUUAUCCGGAUUUAUUAGGUUUAAAGGGUGCGCAGGCGGCCCGGUAAGUCAGUGGUGAAAGUUUGCAGCUUAACUGUAAAAUUGCCAUUGAUACUGUCGGGCUUGAAUAUAGUAGAGGUAGGCGGAAUGUGUAGUGUAGCGGUGAAAUGCUUAGAUAUUACACAGAACACCGAUUGCGAAGGCGACUUCCUGGACCAAUACUGACGCUGAGGUGCGAAAGCGUGGGGAGCAAACGGGAUUAGAUA